CUAACAGCUAUCAAUUGUAUUUAAUAGUUAAACUAAACAGUCCCUAAGUCUUAUAAUUUCUUCAUCUGAGAUACAGAACAUGUAUCCUCAAUGGAAAAAAAAUGUAUCCUAUAUGGUAUGAUGCAUUUGGCUAAGUGUGAUACCCAUGAAAAAAUUUAUAAAAUCUGUCUGGUUGGAAAGACUUGAGAAAUCAUUUUCACUUCACUAUACUGGAAAAGAGAACUUGUUUGUGUAGGUUUUCAGUGUUUUAUCUUAAACCUGUCGUUGCCAGGUCUUAUAUCACUGGAAUUUCAGAAGCUCCUUCGGUCUUCUGUAAUAUCAUCGGCUUAGUUAUAUAUCUAGGACUCCGUACAGAAGUAGUUGUCAAGGGCUCUGAUUACCAAGUCCGACACAAAAACAAUCUUAAAUAUUCAUGUUGCCCAGUACCCCCCACCAAAAAGACAAAUCAAUGGCUCAGCUUGAUAAACAUCAUUAACUCACACAGGGAUAAAGGCUCCCAGAAACACUUUUUCCUUCUCCAAUCUAAAAUUCCCUAUACUACAGUUUUUCUUUCAGCAUUAGAAAAUUUCCUAUGCUAUCAACAAUCCUAAGCCAUAUUGGAACAUUCUAUACCUCUCACUAGUGAAGCUUUGUGCCUCUGAAUCAUAAAGUGCAGUGUAAAUGUUGGAUGGCAUCGCAUAACUCUACAAAGGAAAGAGGAAAACUCUACAGAAUUUGAUAGAUCUGCAACCAACAUCACCAAUUUUGGGGAUAAUUUAACUAGCACCAUUUAAGAAAGUCUUCAUUAUUGACUAGUUUCUGCUGGUCGUGUGAAACUGUUGGAUCAUUUAUAGUUAGCUACCUGUCUGUGGCCCACUUCAACCUGAUUUAAGUCCUCUUCAUUUUCCAUCACCAUUUGAUGCCUGGAAGGAAGACGAGACUUAUUUUGCAAACUUUAAUCAAAGCUGCAUUUUGUGGGCCCCCAACAAUUGCAGCUAUUCUUAAAGAAAUUCUUACUCUGUACAAGAUCUUGCUUGAGCGUUCACCACUGGAUUCCUUCCAUGAUGUCAAGAUCAAGAACUUGAAUCUCACAUUCUACUUUGGUUGCCUCAAGGAUUGCUUGAUUGGCAGUGAAUUACACAAAUUUUACUCAUGGGAAGGAGCAUAUGGAACGUAAACAUGCAAAUUUUCCGCGCAGGAACAAGCCUAUGCGUGGUUGCAAAUUUUUGCGACUAUGUAGCAUGAGGCUAGUUGGAAUCUUCAACAGCCUGGACUGCUGUCAAUAGAAGAUCAGUCAAGGUUAGCAGGCUGGUCAUAGUCUACUGGAUGAGUGGAUGAAGACUGAGAACCAAAAUUGUGCUUAUAGGAUGCUUGUCAGCAGGUUUCCAGAAUUUGAGCAAAACUCAUUCUUCUUAUCGGA